ACCAGACCUGAAUAAGAAAAAGAACGUAUGUACACAGUGUGUACUUUAGGCUUGUUUCAUAACACUAGAUGUUUACAUAAGGAUGCUGUCUUAAAAUGAAAGAAAUAUUACUAUUAGUUUAUCUUAGUUUUCUACUAAGAAAUUCAGGUACCAUACAGGUUUAUUCAGAAGAAGUGGAAUUACUAUCAUUUCAUUGUACUCCAUUUUAUUCCAAGUCUAUGGAGGU